AAGUCGUAACAAGGUUUCCGUAGGUGAACCUGCGGAAGGAUCAUUAACACGUAUCCAAACGUUAAACCCCCCUGUGAACCUUCAGUGUACUCGUACGUCCGUUAGAAAAAGCAGCAAUCCCUGGUAAGGAUGACGCAGUCACGAUCGUUGGAGGCCCACGACGACCGGGUCACUGGGCGCAAGCCCCCCUAUAACAAACGCUGCUAAGCGCGGCCGCGAUAAUACGCAGUCGACCAAAAACCGAACAACUGUUAACAAUGGAUAUCUUGGUUCUC
rnacentral:misc_RNA from 1 species